UUAAGUUCAGCGGGUAUCCCUACCUGAUCCGAGGUCAAAAGUUGAAAAAAAUGUGGUCUUGAUGGAUGCUCAACCAAGGCUGAUUCAAAGUGCAAGAAUUGUGCUGCGCUCCGAAACCAGUAGGUCGGCUGCCAAUCAUUUUAAGGCGAGUCUCGUGAGAGACAAAGACGCCCAACACCAAGCAAAGCUUGAGGGUACAA
rnacentral:misc_RNA from 1 species